AAUGAACGCUGGCGGCAGGCCUAACACAUGCAAGUCGAACGGAUCCUUCGGGAUUAGUGGCGGACGGGUGAGUAACGCGUGGGAACAUACCCUUUGGUACGGAAUAGCCUCGGGAAACUGGGAGUAAUACCGUAUGUGGUCGAGAGACGAAAGAUUUAUCGCCAAAGGAUUGGCCCGCGUUGGAUUAGGUGGUUGGUGGGGUAAUGGCCUACCAAGCCGACGAUCCAUAGCUGGUUUGAGAGGAUGAUCAGCCAAACUGGGCCUGAGACACGGCCCAGAUUCCUGCGGGUGGCAGCAGUGGGGAAACUUAGACAAUGGGGGAAACCCUGAUAUAUCCAUGCCGGGUGAUCGAUGAAGGCCUUAGGGUUGUAAAGAUCUUUCAGGUGGGAAGAUAAUGACUGUACCACCAGAAGAAGCCCCGGCUAACUCCGUGCCAGCCGCCGCGGUAACAC
rnacentral:rRNA from 1 species